rnacentral:rRNA from 1 species
AGAAAAGCCGGGGCUAGAGCGUGCAGCAGCCGGCGGGUAAUUCGUAGGGUGGCAGCGAUUUCCCGGACUUUUUGGGGUGAAUGGGCGGGGCCCGGCGGUUAUUUCAGUUCUGAUUGUGAAGUGCAAGCGUCAUCCCGGGAGGGGUCAUUCGGAAACUCGGUGAACUUGAGCUGCCAGAAGAGAGAAGCGGCAAUUCCCCGUGUAGACGCUGUAAUUGCGUAGAGAUGUCGACGGAACACCAGUGGGCGCAGGCGGCUUUUUAGGUCUGUCAACUCAUCGACUGAGGCGCGAAAGACGUGGGAGCCAACCACGAUUAGAUAUCCCUGCGUAGUCCACGCCGUAAACGAUGAGGUGCUAAGUGUUAGAGGGUUUCCGCCCUUUAGUGCUGCAGCUAACCCAUUAAGCACUCCGCCCGGGGAGUACGGUCGCAAGACUGAAACUCAAAGGAAUUGACGGGGGCCCGCCCAAGCGGUGGAGCAUGUGGUUUAAUUCGAAGCAACGCGAAGAACCUUACCAGGUCUUGACAUCCUCUGACAACUCUAGAGAUAGAGCGUUCCCCUUCGGGGGACAGAGUGACAGGUGGUGCAUGGUUGUCGUCAGCUCGUGUCGUGAGAUGUUGGGUUAAGUCCCCGCAACGAGCGCAACCCUUGAUCUUAGUUGCCAGCAUUUAGUGGGGCACUCUAAGGUGACUGCCGGUGACAAACCGGAGGAAGGUGGGGAUGACGUCAAAUCAUCAUGCCCCUUAUGACCUGGGCUACACACGUGCUACAAUGGAUGGUACAAAGGGCUGCAAGACCGCGAGGUCAAGCCAAUCCCAUAAAACCAUUCUCAGUUCGGAUUGUAGGCUGCAACUCGCCUACAUGAAGCUGGAAUCGCUAGUAAUCGCGGAUCAGCAUGCCGCGGUGAAUACGUUCCCGGGCCUUGUACACACCGCCCGUCACACCACGAGAGUUUGUAACACCCGAAGUCGGUGGAGUAACCG